rnacentral:rRNA from 1 species
GGGCCCGCACAAGCGGUGGAGCAUGUGGUUUAAUUCGAUGAUACGCGAGGAACCUUACCAGGGCUUAAAUGUAAGUUGCAUAGAUCAGAGAUGGUCUUUUCUUCGGACUACUUACAAGGUGCUGCAUGGUUGUCGUCAGCUCGUGCCGUGAGGUGUCAGGUUAAGUCCUAUAACGAGCGCAACCCCUGUCGUUAGUUACCAGCAAGUAAUGUUGGGUACUCUAGCGAGACUGCCGGUGCAAACCGUGAGGAAGGUGGGGAUGACGUCAAAUCAUCACGGCCCUUACGUCCUGGGCUACACACGUGCUACAAUGGCCGGUACAGAGAGCAGCCACUACGCGAGUAGGAGCGAAUCUUCAAAGCCGGUCUCAGUUCGGAUUGGAGUCUGCAACUCGACUCUAUGAAGCUGGAAUCGCUAGUAAUCG